rnacentral:rRNA from 1 species
CCUACGGGAGGCAGCAGUGGGGAAUCUUGGACAAUGGGCGCAAGCCUGAUCCAGCCAUGCCGCGUGAGUGAUGAAGGCCUUAGGGUCGUAAAGCUCUUUCGCCAGAGAUGAUAAUGACAGUAUCUGGUAAAGAAACCCCGGCUAACUCCGUGCCAGCAGCCGCGGUAAUACGGAGGGGGUUAGCGUUGUUCGGAAUUACUGGGCGUAAAGCGCACGUAGGCGGAUCAGAAAGUAAGGGGUGAAAUCCCAGGGCUCAACCCUGGAACUGCCUCUUAAACUCCUGGUCUUGAGUUCGAGAGAGGUGAGUGGAAUUCCGAGUGUAGAGGUGAAAUUCGUAGAUAUUCGGAGGAACACCAGUGGCGAAGGCGGCUCACUGGCUCGAUACUGACGCUGAGGUGCGAAAGUGUGGGGAGCAAACAGGAUUAGAUACCCUGGUAGUCCACCCCGUAAACGAUGAAUGCCAGUCGUCGGGAGCAUGCUAUUCGGUGACACACCUAACGGAUUAAGCAU